GUGUCACCACUCCCAAAUAAAAGCUGAGUUAGCGUCCUUUAGAGUACUUUUUCAUUCGAUUUCGCGUGGCUUUGUUAACCUCAGACUCUCGAGGUUUCUUUAUCCUUAACCAUUGGCUCAAGCGGAAUCGAUAUUUGUUCAAGCAAAGCAAACUGAAUUACGAAGCCAGAGAACAAAAAUACUGCUGAACAAGGCAGUUGGACGUGCCAUGAUGAAAGAAUUGAUAGUAAUGAUUCUUUUAGCAAGCAUCGGACUUACAGAUGCCGGAGGAAAUCAAGAUCGUCUGUCAUGUUUUGGUUGCGGUAGUUACAACUCAUGGGAAGAAUGUGGUACAAGAGUAGAGGAACGCAAUUGCCAGAAUGGAGAAAAUCGUUGCGGAUUGCUUUCAUUGCGUUCAUCUGUUCAACAACUUUACCUAAAAGGAUGCUUUAAAAACACUGACUGUAUAAAUUACCAGCAUCCAAGUUGGUGUUCACAGAAUGCGCCCGCUGACCCACACUGUUUUAGUAACAUAAUUUGCUGUGAGCACGAUUUCUGUAACUAGGCAUAUAUUGAAGGAAGUCAAAUGUCUUAACGACAAUAAAACAAUUAUUGUAGCGGUAA
rnacentral:misc_RNA from 1 species